rnacentral:rRNA from 1 species
CUUGGUCAUUUAGAGGAAGUAAAAGUCGUAACAAGGUUUCCGUAGGUGAACCUGCGGAAGGAUCAUUAGUGAAUCUUUCAAAGUCGGCUCCGUCCGUUCUGUGCUGGUGGAGACACAUGUGCACGUUUGGCGAGUCGCAAACCCACACACCUGUGCAUCUAUGACUCUGAGUGCCGCUUUGCAUGGCCUUGACGGGCCUGGCGCUCGAGUAUUUUCACACACUCUUGAAUGUAAUGGAAUGUCAUGUUGUGCGUAAUGUACAAAAGAAACAACUUUCAACAACGGAUCUCUUGGCUCUCGCAUCGAUGAAGAACGCAGCGAAAUGCGAUAAGUAAUGUGAAUUGCAGAAUUCAGUGAAUCAUCGAAUCUUUGAACGCACCUUGCACCCUUUGGUAUGCCAAAGGGUACACCCGUUUGAGUGUCAUUGUAAUCUCACUACGAUUGACUUUGUCGUCUUUCUGUAUGUGGACUUGGAUGUUGUCGUGGAUAUCCACGACUCGUCUGAAAUGCUUGAGUGUACCCUGCUUUGCGGCGUAUUCGGUGUGAUACAUCUUCACCGGAGUUGAUCCUUUUGGGUCGCGUCUAUACAAGUGUGGCUCUAUGCUUCCAACCGUCUUCCAGGAGACAAUGUUUGACAAUUUGACCUCAAAUCGGGUGGGACUACCCGCUGAACUUAAGCAUAUCAAUAAGCGGAGGAAAGGGCGAAUCGCGCCCGCUAUUACC